GGCGCCGCCCGGGCAGUGGCCGCAAGAACGGGGGUCCCGGGGCCAAGGGGACCCCGAAACAGUCGGGGACAGACUCGGAGCAGGAGGAGGACUCUGAGGACAGCGACAGCGACGGGGACGAGGAGACCCCGCAGCCCCCCCCGGCCCCGCCCCCACUCACCUUCGCCAGCCCCGGGGUUCCCUUCGCCCCCCUGGGCCCCCCCACCCUCCCGGGGGGGCUCCCGGGGGGGCUCCCCCCGGCCCCCGGCCCCCCCCGCGCCCGGGAGGAAGAGGAGGAGGAUGAAGAUUACGAUUCCUAGCGCCGCCCCCCCCCCCCUCACCCAAUUUUUACCCGUUUCUCCAGGAUUUCCCCCCAUUCUGGGCUCGGGCGCCGCCUCCCAGUUGGGCCUUACUGGGAGCUGGGCCUGGCACCAGUUUGGGGGGGCUGGGGGGUGCUGGGAGCACUGGGAACCCCUCCCUGCCCCACUGGUGUCAUGAAUUGUGUCAGUUCUGGGGGGGGGGGGGGCUCAGCCCGGGCUCCUGGGACCCCCCCCCGGACACACCUGGGACCCCUUUUUGGGGGUGGGGGGGCGCAGGGGGGGUCGGGGGUUGAUUUUGGGGCUCUUUGGGGGGCGUUUGCUGAGUCGGGGGUUUUGUAUCGGCUCAAUAAAGUUCCUGUUUCCAUAUG